ACUCCUACGGGAGGCAGCAGUGGGGAAUAUUGGGCAAUGGAGGAAACUCUGACCCAGCGACGCCGCGUGAGGGAUGACGGCCUGUGGGUUGUAAACCUCUUUUCUCAAGGAAGAAGUUCUGACGGUACUUGAGGAAUAAGCAUCGGCUAACUCUGUGCCAGCAGCCGCGGUAAUAC
rnacentral:rRNA from 1 species